CCUACGGGCGGCAGCAGUGGGGGAUAUUGCACAAUGGGGGGAACCCUGAUGCAGCGACGCCGCGUGGGUGAAGAAGCGCCUCGGCGCGUAAAGCCCUGUCAGCAGGGAAGAAAAUGACGGUACCUGAAGAAGAAGCCCCGGCUAACUACGUGCCAGCAGCCGCGGUAAUACGUAGGGGGCAAGCGUGAUCCGGAUUUACUGGGUGUAAAGGGGGCGCAGACGGCGAUGCAAGCCAGGAGUGAAAGCCCGGGGGCCAACCCCGGGACUGCUCUUGGAACUGCGUGGCUGGAGUGCAGGAGGGGCAGGCGGAAUUCCUGGUGUAGCGGUGAAAUGCGUAGAUAUCAGGAGGAACACCGGUGGCGAAGGCGGCCUGCUGGACUGCAACUGACGUUGAGGCCCGAAAGCGUGGGGAGCAAACAGGAUUAGAUACCCGAGUAGUC
rnacentral:rRNA from 1 species